rnacentral:rRNA from 1 species
ACGCUGGCGGCGUGCCUAAUACAUGCAAGUCGAACGGUCUUUCUAUGGAAGCUUGCUUCCACUGAGAAGAUAGUGGCGAACGGGUGAGUAACACGUGGGUAACCUGCCCAUAAGAGGGGGAUAACAUCCGGAAACGGGUGCUAAUACCGCAUAGUUUUCUUGAUCGCAUGAUUGAGAAAGGAAAGACGGCCUUUGUGCUGUCGCUUAUGGAUGGACCCGCGGCGUAUUAGUUAGUUGGUGAGGUAAUGGCUCACCAAGACGAUGAUACGUAGCCGACCUGAGAGGGUGAUCGGCCACAUUGGGACUGAGACACGGCCCAAACUCCUACGGGAGGCAGCAGUAGGGAAUCUUCCGCAAUGGACGAAAGUCUGACGGAGCAACGCCGCGUGAGUGAAGAAAGGUUUUCGGAUCGUAAAACUCUAUUGUCAGAGAAGAACAAGUUGGAGAGUAACUGCUCCAGCCUUGACGGUAUCUGACCAGAAAGCCACGGCUAACUACGUGCCAGCCGCUGC